rnacentral:rRNA from 1 species
UACGAAGGGGGCUAGCGUUGCUCGGAAUCACUGGGCGUAAAGCGCACGUAGGCGGAUCUUUAAGUCGGGGGUGAAAUCCUGGAGCUUAACUCCAGAACUGCCUUCGAUACUGAAGAUCUCGAGUCCGGGAGAGGUGAGUGGAACUGCGAGUGUAGAGGUGAAAUUCGUAGAUAUUCGCAAGAACACCAGUGGCGAAGGCGGCUCACUGGCCCGGUACUGACGCUGAGGUGCGAAAGCGUGGGGAGCAAACAGG